GUCAUGACCUCUCUCUGACCUUCAGCUGCAACAGAAGCAGCUGCACUCAGCUGGGAGACAUCCUCAUCACUCCCACCCUGGUAGUGUUUGCAAGAGAUGGAUACAUUGUCUGUAACCAUAGCAACCAAGUCAGCUGGCACAACGUCACUCUGGAAAUGUCAUCACUCUGUGAAUUUGCCAGAGAGGAACACUCUACUCUCUGGAUGUCGUUGACUGUUGGAUUGAUGUCUGCUGGGAUUGUUGCUGCUGCCCUUGUAGUGAUGAGUGCCUGUCUAAACAGCAACCUAGAGAGCACAGGGGCAGAUGCAUCUCUUUGGCAUUCCACUGUCCAGUUUUCACAUUUAACCGAGGUGCUGCAGAGAGCAGCAGGGGGCAGCAGAGAGCAGGAUGAAAGAGCCAAAUUACUGAGUUAUCUAACGCAUGAACCGCAACCAUUUCAAGCCGUCAUCUACAGCUUUCUUCCGCCUCCUAGGCCAGAGUCUGAUGUCCACUAAGCCUCCUUUGGAUCUCAGAUCUCCACCCCACGUCAUUUGUCCCUUCCAGUCAGCUUUUGAUGAAUAUGCAUCAAUACUCAGCCAGCCCUGUCAGGGAUGACCUUUGUCUCCUGGACAACUGUCAAGUCAGCAGUCUUCCUCAUGAUUAGAUAGAUAGAUCGAUAGAUACUUUAUUGAUAGCUAGGGGAAAUUCAAAAUUGUGGUUGUGUGUAAGACUAAGAGAGGCAUAUUUAUGCAUAGAUUAAAGCAGAAAAAUGCUUUAAACAUUUUCAUUUAUAUCUAA